AGUGAACGUUGGCGGCGUGGAUUAGGCAUGCAAGUCGAGCGAGAACCGUAGCAAUACGGGGACAGCGGCGAAAGGGACAGUAAUGUGUAGGUACCUACCUCCGGGUUCGGGAUAGCUGCGGGAAACUGCAGGUAAUACCGAAUAACGUCUCCGGACCAAAGGUGUGAUUCCACCUGGAGAGGGGCCUGCAUCCUAUUAGCUUGUUGGCGGGGUAACGGCCCACCAAGGCGACGAUGGGUAGCGGGUGUGAGAGCACGACCCGCGUCAUUGGGACUGAGACACUGCCCAGACACCUACGGGUGGCUGCAGUCGUGAAUCUUCGGCAAUGGGCGCAAGCCUGACCGAGCGACGCCGCGUGCGGGAUGAAGGCCUUCGGGUUGUAAACCGCUGUCGUAGAGGAGGAAAUGCAGGGGGGUUCUCCCCUCUGUUUGACCUAUUCUAGGAGGAAGUACGGGCUAAGUUCGUGCCAGCAGCCGCCGCGG
rnacentral:rRNA from 1 species